GUAAUCGCUUAAUUCACCAAAUGGUCCAAAUAAGUGUGAUUCUUGUAAUUGAACAAACUUUUUAUUUAAACGGGAUUCUUUUAAUUGAACAAAUUGUUCAAUUAAGCGAGUAUCUGUUAAUUGAUUCCCCGGUUAAUUGAACGAAAAUUUGUGCAAAUUUUGAUGUGCAAUUAAACGAAAAGUACUGUACAUAUGUUGAGAUGGAGGAAAAUGGGAAAAAAUUUAUUUUCUGUAGAUGUAUGUAGUCAUAUUUUUAUUGAAUAUUUGGUAUACGAAAUGUUAUGCCUGGCGAAAAUCACCUGGCGACAGAAUGAUGACCAAAUAUGUUUUGGUUGUCACGGAAAUCUUUUAAAGUUCUGUCCAGUGCGUCCAGCGACUUCUUGUCGACCGCUGUGUAUUUGUCCAAUUUAUCAACUUGAAUAUCUAGAGAAUCUUCGCCAUAGCGCUAUUUUUGGUGUUGGUGCAAACUGGAGUUUCGUUGAUUUGCAAUUCGAAAUCUUUGCCGAUAGCAAUGAAAGUAUAACGAUUUUUCAGUACCCCCGGAGGCAUCAAGAAAGUAAAUAGCUCCAGAUCCACUUUUCACAGUUUGUAUUAAACUAUCGUAUGCAAUUCUAUUCGUUCUAUUGUGGAAGAUUUGUGCGAAUUGUUUCGGUCAAUGUUUCAGUAUGGUAUUGUUCUUCCCUUUGUAACCCAUGCUAAUUCUUGUUUAUGUUUACAAUGAAAACCCUCUUAAAUUAAACGUCACGGUUAAAAGAAAAACCCUACAGAGUGAAAGAAUUUUGGUUACAAAUUUGCUGAGAAUUUUUGUUUUGUUUCAUAUACAGGCAUGUUCUGCAAAUCGUUUUCGGGCAAUAUUUUCGCAUUUUCCGUUUUCCAAUCGUUUGAAAUGUUCUGUAAAUCGUUCCGUUUUUGUUUUUUCGAAUAUCACCAAAUCGUUUUGUCGCCCUGUUCUGCAAAUCGGAAUCGUUACAAUUUUCCUAUUUCAGAUUCGGCAAGAUAAACGAUAGCGAUUUUGAAUCCAAAUCAAUGAUUUGUCUAAGAAACAUUUAUUAAAAUGGCAUUUAAGAUCUUCGAAGUUUUGGGAUAGAAAGUUAGUGUAUCGGUGGAAGAACGUCCACAGACAAGCAGGGAAACCGUGGUUACCCCAAGAGCAGCCCACUACAUGUUAAAAAAAAAGAUGUUCGUUUUCAUGAGUGCCAUCAAUACAGCCUAUCAUUCUUGGUAUUCUAAAUUGUUGCACAAAAUUAAGUUUUGCUCUUCUGGAAUCCACUUCAGACAUUUGAAGCUAAAUCCACUUCGGACACAAAGUAUUUUCUAAAAUAUUAAUCACUUCGGCUCAACUGAACGUUGAUAUGAACCUUCAACGAAAAACCUAAGACUUGCCGCCAAAUUUAUUAAAUUAGGCGUGGACGUUUCUCUUCUUAAAGGUAUGAUUUCGUUAAGAAUUUCUGAAAAUGCAUGCUUACUUAACCGACAUCUGGAAACAAACCUGAAACAAAAAGAAAUCAUCUCAAGUCGACAAGUAGAAACGUUUUAGCAAAACUCACCGAUGCAGACAGGGGAUUCAAAUGCCGCCUUACGAUUUUACCUUAAUAAUAUCGUUCACAACAAAAAAAUUGCCAUAAAAACAUUGUUUCUUUAAUAAAAACUGUUUAAUUUCAAAUUAUUUAAAAUUUUGGACCGGCAAAUUCUCUUUUAUUUGUUUUGUCAAACUGUCACAAAGAAAUCAGCUGUUUCGAAUUGAAAUUCGAAAUCAAAUGAAAUCGCACGAAUUGCAGAACACCUAAAACAAAAUCGUAAGAAUUGUAAUUUCGGAUCCGAAUUGAAAUCUCGCCAUUUCCAGAACAUGCCUGAUAAUUUCAUUUUACGUUCAUAUCAAUAAUAUAAAAAUUAAUUACUCUUAAGGACUCUUUUUUUUAGGAUUUAUAUUCAUAUGUUGAGGUGGGGAAAAUGGGAAAAAAAAUAUUUUCUGUAUAUGUGCGCAGCCAAAUUUUUAUGGAAUAUUUGGUAUACGUCUUGCAUAGUACAAGGUCUAAUCUGUAAAAUCAUCUCAUGAACAUAAAACAUACUACUAAUAAAUACUUUAAAUGUCAAAGUUAUGAGAUUUA